rnacentral:rRNA from 1 species
AUUGAACGCUAGCGGGAUGCUUUACACAUGCAAGUCGAACGAGUGGCGGACGGGUGAGUAAUAUAUCGGAACGUGCCCAGUAGCGGGGGAUAACUACUCGAAAGCGUGGCUAAUACCGCAUACUUAUGGAGCGGCCGAUAUCGGAUUAGCUAGUGGGUGGGGUCAAGGGUCACCAAGGCAACGAUCCGUAGCUGGUUUGAGAGGACGACCAGCCACACUGGGACUGAGAAACGGCCCAGACUCCGACGGGAGGCAGCAGUGGGGAAUUUUGGGAAAUGGGGGAAACCCUGAUCCAGCCAUCCCGCGUGUAUGAGAAGGCCUUCGGGUUGUAAAAUACUUUUGGCAGAGAAGCGGUAUCUACAGAAUAAGCACCGGCUAACUACGUGCCAGCAGCCGCGGUAAUUC